rnacentral:rRNA from 1 species
ACUGGUUGAUCCUGCCAGUAGUCAUAUGCUUGUCUCAAAGACUAAGCCAUGCAUGUCUAAGUAUGAAUAGUGCUUUUGUACUGUGAAACUGCGAAUGGCUCAUUAAAUCAGUUAUGGUCUCUUUGAUAGUGUUUGCAACACUUGUGUUGUGCUAAAUGGAUAGCCGUGGCAAUUCUAGAGCUAAUACAUGCGACAAGGCCUGAGCUGCUUCCGGGCAGUGAGGGCUGCAUUUAUUAGGUACCAAGCCAACAAAGCUUUUUUUUUUUGGUGAAUCAGAAUAACUUUGCUGACCUUUUGUUCUUGAAACAGAAGGUAAAUCAUUCGAAUUUCUGCCCUAUCAACUUUCGAUGGUAAGGUAUUGGCCUACCAUGGUGAUCACGGGUGACGGGGAACAUUUGGUUCGAUUCCGGAGAGGGAGCCUGAGAAACGGCUACCACUUCCAAGGAAGGCAGCAGGCGCGCAAAUUACCCAAUCCUGACACAGGGAGGUAGUGACAAUAAAUACCAAUGCACUGCUUUUUUACAGUGGUGCAAUUGGAAUGAGAACAACUUAAUGAACUUAUCGAGAACCAAUUGGAGGGCAAGUCUGGUGCCAGCAGCCGCGGUAAUUCCAGCUCCAAUAGCGUAUACUAAAGUUGUUGCAGUUAAAAAGCUCGUAGUCGGAUUUCGGGAUGCAGUGAUUUUUUUUCCUUGGUGUGAGGCUGGGGGUGAUGCGAGGCAUUGUUCUCUGUGUUUCCUCUGCGCUCUGCCAGGGAUGCAUCUCUUUUUCCCUGAUACUUUUGUGUGUCUGUUUUAGCUUGCAUUCAUUUGCCGGCGCAGCAUGCAUUUGCCUCCUUCUUGGGGGCGGGGUAUCUGGGGCUUUACUUUGAAAAAAUUAGAGUGUUCAAAGCAGGCGCAUUUUUUGCUUGAAUAGAUUAGCAUGGAACAACAGAAGAGGACUUUUGGGCCUGUCUUUUGUUGGCCGGUGUGUGUGCAACUCUGUUGUGCGCAUGCCGCAGGUCUGAAGUAAUGAUUAAUAGGAACGGUUGGGGGCAUUGGUAUUUCACAGUCAGAGGUGAAAUUCUUGGAUUUGUGAAAGACGGCCGACUGCGAAAGCAUUUGCCAAGGACGUUUCCAUUGAUCAAGAACGAAAGUUAGGGGAUCGAAGACGAUUAGACACCGUCGUAGUCCUAUACCAUAAACGAUGCCGACUAGCGCUCGGUGGGCAGCACAAACAAUUUUUGUAGUGGCGCCAUCGGGAGCUUUAGGGAAACCAAAGUUUUUGGGCUCUGGGGGUAGUAUGGUCGCAAGGCUGAAACUUAAAGGAAUUGACGGAAGGGCACCACCAGGAUUGGAGUUUGCGGCUCAAUUUGACUCAACACGGGGAAACUCACCAGGUCCAGACAUGGCAAGGAUUGACAGAUUGACAGCUCUUUCUUGAUUCCAAGGGUAGUGGUGCAUGGCCGUUCUUAGUUCGUGGGGUGACUUGUCUGGUUGAUUCCGAUAACGAGCGAGACCUUAACCUGCUAAAUUGUGCGGGGGAUCAUCAGUAUCUCC